AGAGUUUGAUCCUGGCUCAGGAUGAACGCUGGCGGCGUGCCUAACACAUGCAAGUCGAACGGACUUACAUUGAAGCCUAGCGAUAUGUAAGUUAGUGGCGGACGGGUGAGUAACGCGUGGGUAACCUGCCUUGUACUGGGGGACAACAGUUGGAAACGACUGCUAAUACCGCAUAAGCGCACAGCUUCGCAUGAAGCAGUGUGAAAAACUCCGGUGGUACAAGAUGGACCCGCGUCUGAUUAGCUGGUUGGUGAGGUAACGGCCCACCAAGGCGACGAUCAGUAGCCGGCCUGAGAGGGUGAACGGCCACAUUGGGACUGAGACACGGCCCAAACUCCUACGGGAGGCAGCAGUGGGGAAUAUUGCACAAUGGGGGAAACCCUGAUGCAGCAACGCCGCGUGAGUGAAGAAGUAUUUCGGUAUGUAAAGCUCUAUCAGCAGGAAAGAAAAUGACGGUACCUGACUAAGAAGCCCCGGCUAACUACGUGCCAGCAGCCGCGGUAAUACGUAGGGGGCAAGCGUUAUCCGGAUUUACUGGGUGUAAAGGGAGCGUAGACGGCUGUGCAAGUCUGAAGUGAAAGGCAUGGGCUCAACCUGUGGACUGCUUUGGAAACUGUGCAGCUAGAGUGUCGGAGAGGUAAGUGGAAUUCCUAGUGUAGCGGUGAAAUGCGUAGAUAUUAGGAGGAACACCAGUGGCGAAGGCGGCUUACUGGACUGUAACUGACGUUGAGGCUCGAAAGCGUGGGGAGCAAACAGGAUUAGAUACCCUGGUAGUCCACGCC
rnacentral:rRNA from 1 species